GGACGAUUAGCUCAGCUGGUAGAGCACCCGCUUGACGUGCGGGUGGUCACAGGUUCGAGUCCUGUAUCGUCCACCA
rnacentral:tRNA from 1 species